ACAGCCUGCUGGGAAGCUGCAGAUGGGCAGGGUCUGCAGCUGCGCAGAGAAUGAAAUGGAUGGUCCAACACAGACAAGGCCGACCACUCCACCGGAUGAAAGCCUUGUCAGAGCAAAUCUGUAGGUAACUAUGUUUUUUAUUGGCCUAUUAUUUGUAAAGAAUUUUAGGAAACAAAGGGAAUUGCUACAUAUUGUUUUUUUUUUAAUUUAAUCGUUCUUAAAGAAUAAAUGUCUGGCCCUUUUAAGAGAUCUGUUUGAUGCAUGUCCAAAAGCUAGGACCUGUUUGGGUUUUGGUGUGUAUCUCGCUAUUUUUGCAUGUUUCUUUUAUGCAAAUUAUUAAACUAAUAGUAUUCCUAUAAAAGCUACAUUAUAUUUAUUUAUUUAGGUUUCUAAAGUAGGUUAUUUAAAUUAAAUUAUUCCUUGAGAAGUUCAUUUGUAUAUAUAAUGUUUUUAGAUUAUGUUUAACCCUAAACCUUCCAAGUUCCUCCCUGCCCCCACUGUGCCCUUCCCAAUUCUCUUCCUGCCCCCAAAUAAAGUACUGAAUCCUGUUAGUGUUCCUUGAUGUACAUUCUUGAGUCAUGAAAAGCUACACCUAACCGCAGCCCUGAAGAAAAGUUACAUUAUUUUGCCUAGCAGCCAUCAGUGGUCAGUCUGAGAGUCAGACAGCACACAAUCUCAGAUGUGGUUAUAGCCUUGAAUCGUUAGCUUUGUGUGUUUGGCUUAGAUUUGUGGCAGAAACCACGAAAUGGGGCUAUUUGGAGUGGCAUUAAGAGGAGUUUACCAGAACACAGGUAUUCUUUCACCUUUUGGGGGAAUUUCUAUAAGUUUAUAAUUGUUCAUACAUACAUACAUAUAUACAUACCUUAAUUAUACUUAAUUGGAUCUGUUUCUUUUGAGUUCAUAGGAAGAAAAAUUAGAUACUAAUUUAGGUCUGCUUUCUUUUCUAACCUGCAUUUUAACGUUUAGAUUUUACCUAAAAUUCUGAUGCUAUAAGGGGACUGAGGCUAAUAUUGUUGGUUUUCUGCUAAAGACUAAAAUCUAUCAUUUCUUUACAGAUUACCAGUUCCUUUUCAUUGGAAAGAGAAUUCUUUUCACAUCAACUAUAUUCAAGUCUACAACAGGUUAAACGUGACCAUGUUUAUGAUCAACUUCAAUAGAGCAUGAAUAGUCUACCUCAUUUUGUUUGAUUAUACAUAGCCUCUUUAUCAGUGAGAAAUAUGAGUUCAUUGAUUUGAGAAAUCAAUAUAAAAAUUGUAUGCAGGGUGGUUUCAAAAUCAUACUGAGGAAGCAACAUUUCUAAUUGCAGUUUUCUCAGACAACCCUUUUGUCAUUUGGGGAGGGAAUGUCCAGUUAUUUUUUAAGCUACCUGGGUAAGAUUCCUUUCCUCACUACUUUCAGAAAUCAGGCUUUUUACGUACAUUCAAAAAGGAGGUAUGCUGUUUUGUCCAUAUUACUUCACAGGGUAACCCAACUUACUGUUUACUGUGUACAAAGUGUAGGAUUAAUCUUUAUGCUAAAAAAUGUAUACAAUUUUAAGACAAGACCAUGGAAGUGCUUUAGUGCAUUACAGUAAUUAUCUUCAUCUUACCCAUGAAACCUUUCAUGACCCAAGUGACCUUGUAGUUAUUAAUAAUUAUAUUGGUUUAUUACUCCUGCACAACACCCUUUUCACAGUGUUACAUACACGAGGUUUCGAUUUUUUUCUACCCCAUCUUUUUAUUUAGUUCUGUGCCUCUUGUAUAAUAAAGUACAUUUCGUGGCAGUUAGGCAUGUAGUUGCCUAAGGAUGGAAAGUAUUGAGAAAUUAUGAUAUUCUAAUAAGAUAUCCCUGUAGGUACUGUGGAGAAAGGUGUACUAAAAUUCUCACGUUAAUUAAGACUGUUUUCCCUUCCUUUUUAGUUGUAAUAUAUUUUAUAUAUGCUAGUAAACACAUCUAUAUUCUAUACUCAGGGAUCACACUUUAUUCCAUUGAUUGAGAUAUAUAUGUUUAUUUCACACUAUAUUUUGUUUCUAGUAUUAUUUUUGUUUGUUUUCUUGCUGCUAAUUUAGAUGUUAAUGUUUUGUUCCAGUUUAUAAUCUCUUGUGGGCAGAAGAUGACAGAACUGACAUACUACAGAGGAAGGUAUGAAGAGUUACAGCGAGCAAGUAUGGGCCAUUCUCUCAGCUGCUGUGGCCAGAAGAUGAUACUGAAUUUCUGAGAGCUGGAGUCAAGGGUGAUUGUGAGUUACCAUGUGGGUGCUGACAAAGGAACACAAGUCCUUUGGAAGUGCUCCUAAUCCAAGCCAUAUCACGAGACAGAGUCACCUUAGCUUUGUUGUUGUUGUUGAUGAUGAUGUUGUUGUUGUUUUUGACACAGAGUCUCUCACAGGGACCUGAGUUUCACAGAUUUGACUGCCUGACCAGGGACCUCCAGGGACAUGGAAUUCUUGACUUUCCAGUGUUUGCUAGGACUGAAGAUGUGUACCACCAUCACCCCACGGUUGUAAGGAAGCCAUACGUGUCUGACUGAAAAAUGGAUUACUUAGAUAAGGAUGACCCUUGAAGAACAAUCUUGCUUUGGGUUGAGAUACUUCAGUUAUGAAGACCACUUAGCCAGAGGCAGAACUACAGAAGGAAAAAGCAAGAUCUACCUGAGGACCAAGCUAUGUCACUCUUUGGAAUAUACC
rnacentral:sRNA from 1 species